UACGUAGGGGGCUAGCGUUGUCCGGAAUCAUUGGGCGUAAAGCGCGUGUAGGCGGUCCGGUAAGUCCGCUGUGAAAGUCGGGGGCUCAACCCUCGGAUGCCGGUGGAUACUGUCGGGCUUGAGUACGGAAGAGGCGAGUGGAAUUCCUGGUGUAGCGGUGAAAUGUGUAGAGAUCGGGAGGAACACCGGUGGCGAAGGCGGGUCUCUGGGCAUCUCCUGACGCUGAGGCGCGAAAGCGUGGGGAGCAAACGGG
rnacentral:rRNA from 1 species